GUGAGGAAUAUUGGACAAUGGGCGCAAGCCUGAUCCAGCCAUGCCGCGUGCAGGAAGACGCAUCUAUGGUGUGUAAACUGCUUUUGUACGGGAAGAAACACUCCCUCGUGAGGGAGCUUGACGGUACCGUAAGAAUAAGGAUCGGCUAACUCCGUGCCAGCAGCCGCGGUAAUACGGAGGUUCCAAGCGUUAUCCGGAAUCAUUGGGUUUAAAGGGUCCGUAGGCGGUUUAAUAAGUCAGUGGUGAAAGCCCAUCGCUCAACGAUGGAACGGCCAUUGAUACUGUUAGACUUGAAUUACAAGGAAGUAACUAGAAUAUGUAGUGUAGCGGUGAAAUGCUUAGAUAUUACAUGGAAUACCAAUUGCGAAGGCAGGUUACUACUUGUGGAUUGACGCUGAUGGACGAAAGCGUGGGGAGCGAACAGGAUUAGAUACCCGUGUAGUCC
rnacentral:rRNA from 1 species